UACAGAGGUGCCGAGCGUUAGGCGGAAUCACUGGGCUUAAAGCGUGUGUAGGCGGACUUCUAAGUACCUUGUGAAAUCCCACGGCUUACCCGUGGAACGGCUGGGUAUACUGGGAGUCUUGAGCCACCUAGGGGCGAGUGGAACAAAUGGUGGAGCGGUGAAAUGCGUAGAUAUCAGGAGGAACACCCAUGGCGAAGGCAGCUCGCUGGCCUGCAACUGACGCUGUAGUGCGAAAGCGUGGGGAGCAAACAGG
rnacentral:rRNA from 1 species